rnacentral:misc_RNA from 1 species
AGUCAGAAACAUCCAUGGCCA